AUGAACGCUGGCGGCGUGCCUAAUACAUGCAAGUCGAGCGAACGGACGAGAAGCUUGCUUCUCUGAUGUUAGCGGCGGACGGGUGAGUAACACGUGGAUAACCUACCUAUAAGACUGGGAUAACUUCGGGAAACCGGAGCUAAUACCGGAUGAUAUUUUGAACCGCAUGGUUCAAAAGUGAAAGACGGUCUUGCUGUCACUUAUAGAUGGAUCCGCGCUGCAUUAGCUAGUUGGUAAGGUAACGGCUUACCAAGGCAACGAUGCAUAGCCGACCUGAGAGGGUGAUCGGCCACACUGGAACUGAGACACGGUCCAGACUCCUACGGGAGGCAGCAGUAGGGAAUCUUCCGCAAUGGGCGAAAGCCUGACGGAGCAACGCCGCGUGAGUGAUGAAGGUCUUCGGAUCGUAAAACUCUGUUAUUAGGGAAGAACAUAUGUGUAAGUAACUGUGCACAUCUUGACGGUACUUAAUCAGAAAGCCACGGCUAACUACGUG
rnacentral:rRNA from 1 species